UUUACUUUUUGAUCGUUUUAUAAAUUCCAAAAUUUUGUUCGAUAUAUCGAUGUUGUGCCUGGGAAACAUCGAUGUUUUUGCACCUCAGAGGAGUACAACUCUUUCACAGUUUUCAAAAUGCAUGUGGAAAAUGCAGCUGGAAAACAAUCGAUACCACUAUCGAUACUAUUGACUUUUUUAAAUUUUAUAAACAUCGGUUCUUUGGCCACUAUCGCUUGUUUUUAUUAUAUCUGUGAAUUGAGGACAACUGAAAUUUAUAUUUCCUUGGAAGCGAACCAUGGUGUUGGUUUGUGAGAAGUGUUGUUUCUAAAUGACGCUAUGCAUACAAGUGAAAAUGUAAACAUGCCUCUACUUUGGACUUCUUGUGCGAUACUUGCGGAAUUAUCGGAAAUGUUUCACAUGCAAUUCUCAGCAGUUCGAAAACUGUCAUA